rnacentral:RNase_P_RNA from 1 species
GCGGAUGGCCGGAUGGCCGCGGGCCGUAAGGUUCGAGGAAAGUCCGGACUCCACAAGGCACGGUGCCGGGUAACGCCCGGCCGGGGCAACCCGAGGGAAAGCGCCACAGAGAACAGUCCGCCCGGCAUGUCCGGGUCAGGGUGAAACGGUGGGGUAAGAGCCCACCGCGGGACGGGCAACCGGACCGGCACGGCAAGCCCCACCGGGAGCAAUGCCAAAUAGGGACCUCGCGCGGGUGCUGAUCCGGUUCGCCGGAUAUCGCCGCAGGGACGCCUGACCCCGAGAGGUCCGGGUUGGCAGCUUCAGGCGCGUUGGCAACAGCGCGUCGAGAUGAAUGGUCAUCGCCGGGGGCGACCCCGGAACAGAAUCCGGCUUACAGGCCAUCCGCGCAG